UGGGACUAAGAGGGACCGGACAUCAAUCCAUGUCCUCCAAACCAUCCUGAACCAGUCUCUCAUAUUACAGAAAUUGAGAAAGCCACUCAUCCUGGAGGCCUUGGGAAUAUCGUGGAUGAGAUUGGUCUGAAAUGACUGUUUAGUCUAAGGCUGAUAAAAUCUAGAGGGGCUUCUGUUAAGUGUUUCCUGUUAGCCCAUUGGCCUUCCUAUAGCUCCAUCCACUCGGCUGAGCUAAAGAGGGCAGCUCCAGUCUGCCCCGUGGCAGUUUCACACAGAUGGAAGCAAUGCGACGCCAGUGGAGUUACACCAGGGAUCAGUCUGGUCAAGAACGUGGACUUGCUCUCUCCCUCUGCUUACAUAAGACUCAUGAACCAUAUUGCACUCAGCAGCAGGUGGAACUAGGGUAUUACAUUUUGGCUGCAGAUGGGAGUGGGUUUAUACUGUUAUUUAGGCUCAAGAACCUUUCAGAGGCUUCUUGAAUAGACUUGGUGAACAGUGGGGACUUUACUGGUGACCACAGCCAAGUCUGAGAUAGGGCGCUCUUGGCAAUGGUCAUAGGAGUUCUUUCUACCAGUGGUCAGAGCACAAUUCAGGACAGCUUUCUCAGAAGCCCAGCUGCCCAUUCUUCCUUGCCAGAAUUGACCUAAAUUGCCCCCUGAAGGCAUUUCAGAGCAUGGGGAGAAUGUGUGUAAGUGGCACUGACAGUGACACAUUAUAUUGCCCUGCAAUAUAGGACUGCGGGGAAGAGAGAUGGGGCCAUGAAGGAUUCCCCUCAGAUUCCUGCACCUGCCCAGAUAUGUCACUGCUUUGCCCCCACCUGCCCAGACUUGCAGGGGGGCUCUCAGAGAGGGAUGGCAGAUGAUGCCAUAUACCACCCUAUUUUGGGGCACGAGGAGUUUGCAUUUCUCUUCCCUUCGGGGUGGUUUGUAAGAAGGCCUGUUAGGUACUCAGACCAACACAGGUCUGAGGGGUAACUGGCUGCAGGCUGUCUGAACUCGCAGCCCAACCACAGCAGGCACUGGUGGAGGCUGAUGGGAGGGUGACCCAGAGCAGCUGUGUAAAGAUUAAAGGGAGCCACUUCAGACAUCUGCUUGUUCACUUCAAAGGCUGUAAAUGGAUUAAACCAAUCUCCAGUUAGAUCCCCCACACUGAGCAGGAGAACGCUUUGAGCCAUCCACUCACUCAGAGCCUCCGAUGCCCCUUUGCCCGGGGAAAACCAGGCCAAGCACAAGCAGCAGCAAGAGCCAUCGUGUUUGUUAGUGACCAGAAAAAGAAGAACUUAGAAUCAUAGAAUAUCAGGGUUGGAAGGGACCUCAGGAGAUCAUCUAGUCCAACCCCCUGCUCAGAGCAGGACCGAUCCCCGACUAAAUCAUCCCAGCCAGGGCUUUGUCAAGCCUGACCUUAAAAACCUCUAAGGAAGGAGAUUCCACCACCUCCCUAGGUAACGCAUUCCAGUGUUUCACCACCCUCCUAGUGAAAAAGUUUUUCCUAAUAUCCAACCUAAACCUCCCCCAUUGCAACUUGAGACCAUUGCUCCUUGUACUUCCUUGGCUCAAUGACCAUGAUUGUUUCACCUGACUCAAAAUGGAACCAUCAGGCCCUUUGGGAGAUAGGCUGGAGCUGGAAGCACAGCUGGUUUCACAGCAGUCUGUGUAGGGCCUUGAAUUUCUAACUACUGACUCUGCUGCCCCAGGCACUAACCAAGUCUGUCUUGCUGCCAGAACUCAGGACCACGGAAACCUUUCAGUUAAAGCCAGGCCGUGAAGGCUACUCUUGAGGGGGUAGGCCUGUUGUGGCAGGGGGCCAGAUGAACCAACGGAUUCCUUCCAGCUUUCAUGUCUGUGGUCUCUGUGAGCCAGCACCAUGCCAACGUGGGGCGCAUUAUGCCUUCAGAAGGCACAGCACAUGGCAGGAGUGCUGGGGGUGCCUACAGCAGCUGCUUUAGCUAUU